rfam:Citrus sinensis cultivar Ridge Pineapple sweet orange scaffold05913_contig_2, whole genome shotgun sequence.
AUACUUACCUGGACGGGGUCAAUCGGCGAUCAUGAAGGCCCAUGGCCUAGGUUGGUGGCCUCCAUUGCACUUGGGAGGUGCACCCGCCUAAGGUCAGCCCAAAGUGGUUGAGCCUACGUCAUAAUUUGUGGCAGUGGGGGCCUGCGUUCGCGCGGCCCCCUC